UAUGUUUAGUGUUGCAAUAGUAUAAAAACCCUUAGGAGCACUCUGGUCAGCACAAGUCCUCAGGGACAACCAGGUGUCCUUGUGUGUAGGGACAGUAGGAACCUUGAAAGGAAUGAUCCGCUGUAAACCGGAUUUCCAAGCUGGCCCUGCUCUGGGAGUCUCUUGGCAGUUGCAGGCUUUCUGAAGCAUGUGUGAAGUGUGAAGCACAUUGAUGAAGAGAGUUCUGCCUGGACUUGCAGCAAAAAUAGGUAUAGAAGGCAGUGCAAAUUUGAAGUGGGAUGCUCAUAUCUCAGGAAGUAAGAAGGAGUGAGGUCCGCAGCCACCAGCAACUAUGAAGUCAUGUGGAGUCCUUCUGCAGAGUUAGACAGUGUGAGAGAGAGAGAGACAGAGACAAAGGUCUUCCUUCCAUUGGUUCACCCUGCAAUUGGAUGCUACGGCCGGUGUGCUGCGCUGAUCUGAAGCUAGGAGCUAGGUGCUUCCUCCUGGUCUCCAUGUGGGUGCAAGGCCCAAGCACUUGGGCCAUCCUCCACUGCCUUCCUGGGCCACAGCAGAGAGGUGGACUGGAAGAGGAGCAACCGGGACAGAACCCGGCACCCCAACUGGGACUAGAACCCAGUGUGCUGGUGCCACAGGCGGAGGAUUAGCCUAGUAAGCCGUGGCGCUGACCACUGGCACAUAUCUUUAAUAAAACAUUCUGCCCUCACUCCAUAUGCUGGGACAAUAAACAAGCAAAUAAGUGAGCUGAAAUGAAAUGAUGCUGCUGUUUGUGUCAUCAAAUAGGAUUGUAUAUGCAGAGACCAUUUCCACAAAUAUAUACUCACCAAAAUGAUAUAAUAAUGAAAGUCAUUAUUCCUAGGGAUAGAAAGCAGACAACUGAGGAUUUGGGGAUGAGAGGAAAAUCUUAAAAACAAAACAAAACAAAGCCACUGUAUAACCUCUUACAUUGUUUAAAUUUUUGCUGCAAACAUGUCUUUUCUCAAUAAAUGUAACACAUGUAUCUAUUCGCUGGGGUAUGUUUGGUAAGAAACAGCAAAUUGAACAAAAUCAUGAGACAGAACUAGGGUCUUUAUUGACAAGAUGGCCCCAGGAGUAUAAUAAUUUGAAUGACUACAGGAGGACUUGGUCAGAAUUGGGUCUGUCCAGUGUGUUUUGAGGCAAAUUUUGACAACAAGAGAAAAUUUGCAUAAAUGAUCUGAUUAAUAUACCUUCUUAAUUGUUGACCUGUACCUUUGUCCAUUCAGGCUGUUGUAACAAAAACUACUAUAAAUCUGGUACCUGGUACCUUAAAAGCAGCAGAAACUCCUCUGACAGCUCAAGACGCUGGGGAGUCUGAGAUCAAGACACGGACCAAUUCAGUGCCUGCUUAGCUCCUGCUUUCUGUUCCACAGAGGCGGAAGGGGCAAGGCAGCCUGGGGCUUCUUUAACAUGGGCACUAGAGCCUGGAGGCUCUGGCCUCACAUCACAAUCAGGCCCCACAGCCCCACUUCCUAAUGCCACUGCCUGGGCGCCUAGGUUUGACUUGUGCUUUGGAGGCCGACAGAUGUUCUGACCACAGCGUCCUGUCUCGUAGCUGAAGGAUUCACUGAAGACUCUUAAGCCAGAGAUGAGUGACCGUGGGGAGUUGAGCAUUUUAGAGCAGUCACUUUACAGUCAGUGAGAUGGAGUGAAAUUGGGACAGGCUGGAGGCUGGAAGAUGAGUCAGGCGAUUUGAGUGGUACAGGGAAGAAUUGUAAAAUAAUAAAAUAGUAAAGCAGAGGAGAAAUGUGCUAGGGGAAAAUAACUGGUCCCUGAGCUCUCUGGCCCAUGGGGUUGGGCAUCGUGAAGGAGAAACACAUGUUCUGAAAGUGGGUGAAGGAUGGCGCUGAGCCUUUCCGUCAGUGACACCCAGUGGAUAUGGCUCAGGGUAAGAGAAAAAUCCCUGCAUGAACAGGAGUUCUGGAAGGAAAGAACUGGCUAAAUUAAAAUCACAUAAAGAAAACGAGGAGCCAGGCAGACGCCCAGGCCAAGACCACACCCACGAUGACCCAAUGAAGAGAGGCUGGCGGAGCUGGCAGGCAGCAGCAGGCAGGGGUCUGAGAUGUCUGGUGGAUUAAUACUUCCAGGAAGAGGCACAUCGCUCACACCCAGAAGCACACAGAGGGUCUCUGGAGACUUCAUGUCUGGGCAUUCUAUGGAGGCUGGGUGUGGCCAGGGUGGGACUUUUCCUGCUAACUGGAGCAGAUGUGGAGGAGAGAGAGGGGGGUGAAUUUCAGGAUUCUUGGCUUCCUGCCUCCGCUGUGGCUCUAACUGGAUUUGUAAUAUUUGGCAAGUCAUUUAAAUUUGUGUUGGUUCAACAGCUUCCUCUGUGAAAUGAGGUUAAAUGUGCAGCAGUUGGGAUUUGGGGAGCUUACGUAGAAGAGGAGCUGAUAACCCCAGGCUUGAGAGUCAUAGGAAAGCUUCCCGGAGUUGGUGUUACACAGAGAUUAUUCUUCAGAUCUCAAAAUGUUAGGUGAGGUCAAGGAUAAGGAGUCAGGGCACGAGGAACUGAGCUGAGUAGAGGCGAUAGUAUGAACAAAAGCUCCAAGUCCAGGAAUGGAACUGUACUGCCAGAAAGACUAAGUAACUGGAUACAACUUCUGGGCAUAGAUUGGUAAAAUGCAUUCAUUUCCUUUGUCUCAAAUGGCUUCAAACAAAGUAUCACUGUUGACAUUUUGCAGCGUCUACAUUCCAGAAGCUACCUGCCCACAAUCACGUAGCUUCAAAAUGGUAGAACUAGGGUCUGUCUGCUCCAAACCAUUUUCACUAUAGACUAUUAGCUCUUCCCCCACAUUAGCACAUUAAGAUGGGUGGGUGCAGGAGCAGUAAGAAAGGUGUACUUUUCUCAGUGGAUCCAGCAGUUUACAUUUUGAAAGUGCUCUUUGAAUCUGUACCGAAGAAUCAAAGGGAAAAACUGAAAACUUAUGGGUCAUAAGGUAAAGAGGAUUUGUGCUGCACAUACAAGGAAGCAAAAAAUCACUAGCCAAAGUGGUCAAUAGAGAACGCACCCCUAGCCCUGGUGUUUUUCUCAGCAGUGUCCUUUAGAAAGGGUCUCACAUUUAUCUGCAACUAACUUAAGCUAAGUUUGGUGACUUUGAUUCUUCAUUUCAGACUUGCACACUAAGCCAAAGCAAUUUGAUGUUUAUUCUACUACAACUGGUUCUUCCAGAGCUAUCUGAUUUUGAGAAAGCCAGGUUUUCAGAGACCUGGAACAGUUUUAGCCAGUCCUUGAAUCUUCCUUCUAGAGUUUUUGCUAUAUGGUAGGCUAUACUCACUUAUUCUAAGGUCUUUUUCCAAAUUAAAUUGUUAUUUAUCCAUUUAUCUUUCUGCUUAUUUAUUUGAAAGGCAGAGAGAGAGAGAGAGAGAGAGAGAGAGAGAGAGAAACUCCCAUUCAUUGGUUCACACCUCAAAUUACUUCAUGGCCAAGACUGGGAUAGGCCAAAGCCAGAAACAUGAUCCAAGUCUCCUACAUGGAUGGAAGGAAGCCAGUUACUUGGCCAAUCACCUGCUGCCUCCCAGGUUGCACAGUAGCAGGAAACUGGAAUUGGGAACAGAGCCAGGAGUCAACCCAGGCCCACCAAUAUAGGAUGUGAGCCUCCCAAGUGGUAUUGUAACAACUGGUCCAAAUACCGGUUCCCAUUCUGAGCUUUUUGAUAUUUUUGUUUCUUUCUUUUUGCUUUUUUUGUUUGUAUUUUCCAUGUGUAGGCUCAGUACAGUAACUAGGUGUAAAUUUUAUGCUAUUUUUCUGUAUUUUUAGAAUCUUUUGAGGUUCCUGAAUAUGAGAGCUUUAUUUGUCCUCAAAAAUCUCACUCAUCUUUUCAAAUAUUACUUCUCACCCAUUCUCCCUUGCCUCAUAGUCUGGAAUUCCUUUUAGAAAUAGAUUAGAUACUCUUAUACUAUCUUGAAGUCUUUUGACUUCUUUUAAUAAAUUCUAUAUUUUUCCCUCUCUGCUACAUCCUAAUUUCCUCAGAUCCUCCAAAAGAAUUCCCUCUCCAGCUUAAUCAAAUCUGCCAUUUAAGCCAUUCUAUCAGAUUUCAUGUUGGAAAUUGUGUUUUCAUUUCUAGGCAUUCCUUUUGCUUUUUUUCCCCAAGAACUUGUUGUUUCUCCUAUAUCAAUCUUCUUCCCAAAUCUCCUUCACUGAUAUCUAAGGAUUUGAAACAUAUUUAUAAUUUUUUUUUAUUUUAGUGCUUCAAUUUUAAGGAUGAUGUCUAUUGUAGAUUUUGACUCUUGUUUAGGGUGGAUGUCUCUCUAAGAGUUCCAUGAUUUUGGACUAUGAGUUCAUCUUCAGCACAGCUUUAUCUUUGAGACUUCUGCGGGGCUUGUGUUGAAGGCAUGCCUUAUAGGCAGCUUCAAUUUCACUUCUGCCCAGCAUUUUUCUGAAUCCCUCUCUGCUACCAGGAGAGCCCACACGUGUGUUAUAAUGGAAUGCAAGAGCUGUCGAUGGACAUAUCCUUUCUAGGUACUUCUCAAGGAACAAAUUAUUCUGCAUCCCAUCCCUUGUCCAUGUUGAGGCAAACAUGCUUCCUUAUCCUAACGCUGUGCUUUUUACUGGGUCUAUUCCCCUGGAAGGUUUCGAUUUUACACAAGCAUCUUUCUAACAUCUCUGUCUUACAAAGAUCCAUAACCCAGUCAUGUGUUCUAAUGUGAAAUUAAAAUGUCAGCAUCUCAGUGACCAGUUGAGAAAUGACCUUAAUGCCUCAGUCUGUAUAAUCCACAGCAAUUACCUGUGAAACGUCUCUUCUAUAUUCUGAUUCAUCUCUUUUGAGGGGAUUGGGAAAGGAUCCUGGGUUUUUUCUCCACUGUCAGAGAAUUAGGCUCUUCAUUCGAGAGGGUUUUUCAUGCCCAGAAUUUCAAGGUGAUUUUCAGUAUGCGGAAAGUUAGGUUAUUUCAUAGGUUAACCAAAGUAAAUAAACCCACCUCUCCUGGAACCCGAAGUCCCACACUCAUUCACUCUUCACUUAAAGGUUCUCUCUGGGUUCUAGGGAGGCCCCAUUGAGCUGUCUGUCUCUACUCUGGGAGUGGCCAGCAUCAGCCUGAGGGCCUCUGAGCACCAUGUUCUAUGGCGUAUUCCUACUCUUCUGUUCAUGGGAGACAUGAGCAGGUGCAUCUCUCACAUAUCAUCAACUAGAUGCCUCUCUCUUGAAAUUUGGAAUUUUAUAUGCUAAAAUACUCUUGGUCCUGUACUUACAGUCUUGAGAUAGUUCUUUCAUGGACUUUAAUUUCAAAGAUAAUUGUUAGGAUAAUAUGAUUAUCAUUUGUAUCAUGAUAUAGCAAUGAAAGUUUCCACCUGUUUUCAGCACUUUAGUGAUGUGUUCUAAAUAAAAUAGUGGGAAAGAAAAUGUGAACAGGCACCAUAAAAUGGGUUUCAAAGAACUAAUUAAGAAGUGACUUGUCAAUUUUAAUAAUAAUAACAACACUUUGUGGUUUUACAUGCUUACUUUCAAAGCAACUUCAAUUUUAUUAUCUCCUUUUAAGUGAUCACGACUUUGUUAGGGAGACUCAAAGGAAGAAGGCAAUGUUGUUGGAAAACUGCUCUUUUAAAAAAGUUACUAUUUCCUCUCAAUAAUUCUGAAAGGGAUGUUGCUGUUUUGUUUUGUUUUGCCUAGUUUUCACAUUUACAACUGAGUAUAAAAUUCAGCUACUUGCUCAGAAUCAUAGAUGUCAAAUGUCUGUUCUUUUUUGCCUACUCCCCCUUAAAUAUUUGCAUAUCUCCUCUCUAAAGACCAAUAGUUUCCUCUAAGGAAAUGUGUUUUCCAUGUAUCUGCCUUUGGAUUUCUGCUCCGGUGUGUGUGAACACACAUAUGCAAUGAUAGGAUACUUGGAGUCCCUUUGCAUAGUGAAAAAAGUAUCACUUUCUGAAAAUGGUUUCCUUCCUCAUAUAAACCUGCUCACACCCUGUAACCACAGUCUUUUGGCAAUUGGUUAGACCUGUGUAGAUACCUGGAUCAAUAUGAUCUUUUCUUCAGCAAGAUCUUCUAUGCAGGGAACUGGAAAUUGAACCUUAGGGAAAGCAAGUCAGCAAGUUAUGGAUGCUUUGCCAUCAGGAUCAGAGAACCAGAGAGAAAAAGAGAAACUUCAGGUUGGAAGAAAGAGGAAAGUCCACAGAGAAGGUCAGAGGAAAGUCCUUAGGGCUCCAGUCCUGUGACAGUUCCUUUCUGAAACAGCAUCCUUGUUUUGUCUCCAAAGGAACAUUGUUCAUGUAACACAUUUUUUCUCUAGAAAUGGCAAAAAAAUUAACACUUAAUAUUUGAUGGUGCUUAUGUAUGCAGAAAUUCUAGCAGGAAGAAGUUAGAUGUUUGAGAAAAAGCUUAGCUCAUUGUUUUCCUUAUCAUCUUUCUGGAGCACAUCCUCAUGUUCCUCUCUGGGUCUGGAUGGUCUUGAUGAUCCUUCCUGCCUUCUCCUACAUAAAUCCACAGCUUCUUCACUUGAUCACCCACAUACUCUCUCUUUUUUUUUUAGAAAACUUUUAUUUAAUAAAUAUAAAUUUCAAAAGUACUACUUUUGGAUUAUAGUGGUUCUUUCCCCCAUAACCACCCUCCCACCCAGAAACCAUCCCAUCUCCCACUCCUAUUCCCUCUCCCAUCCCGUUCUUCAUUAGGAUUCAUUUUUAGUUAUCUUUAUAUACAGAAGAUCGACUCUAUACUAAGUAAAGAUUUCAACAGUUUGCACCCACAAAGAUACACACAAAGUAUAAAGUACUGUUUGAAGACUAGUUUUACGUUAAUUCUCAUAGUACAACACAUUAAGGACAGAGGGCCUACAUGAGUAGCAAGUGCACAAUGACUCCUGUUGUUGAUUUAACAAUUGACACUCUUAUUUAUGAUGUCAGCAAUCACCCAAGGCUGCCAAGGCUAUGGAAGCCUCUUGAGUUCAUAAACUCUGACCUUAUUUAGACAAGGCCAUAUUCAAAGUGGAAGUUCUCUCCUCCCUUCAGAGAAAGGUACCUCCUUCUUUGAUGGCCCCUUCUUUCCACCAGGAUCUCACUCACAGAGAUUUUUCAUUUAGGUCAUUUUUUGCGACAGGAUCACUCACACUCUCAACUGGUAUUAUCUAUCAGGUUUGCUUUCCUUAAAAACCAAAUUCUUAAAAGUUAUGACAGUUAUUCCUUAAAUACAAUUUUAUUUUAGAUUAUAUAAUGUUUAAAAUUCCUCUGAGAUAAAUAUUUCAAUUCUUUUUUAAAAGAUUUAUUUACUUAUUUGAAAGUUAGAGCUACAGAGAGAGAGGGAGAAACAGAGACAUUCCAUCUGUUGGUUUGCUCCCUAGAUGGCUGCAAUGGUUACGGCUGGAGCAGACUAAAAUCAGGAGCCAGGAACUUCAUCAGGGUCUCCCACAUGAGUGGCAGAGGCCCAGGCACUUAGGCCAUCUUCCAUUGCUUUUUUCAGGCCAUUAGCUGGGAGCUGGAUUGAAAGUAGAACAUCCAGGACAUGAACCGAUUCCCAUAUGAGAUGCCAGCAUUGUAGGUGGCAGCUUUAUCCACUACGUCACCAUGCCUGCCCCCAGAAAUUUUUAAAUUUUGAACACUGGGAAUAAAGCAAUCCUGAUUUAUAUUGAGAUCUAAGGGUGUGGGGUGCCUAAAAUGGGGUGGAUGUUAAUGCCUUUGGAACUCAAAAUGCUGAGUAGUCAAGAAACUAUGCUGGUGAUAAAUGAGUUUUUAAAGAUUUAUUUUAUUUAUUUGAAAGAGAGUUACAGAGACAUAAAGGGGCAGAGAGAGAGAGAGAGAUAUCUUCCAUCUGUUGGUUCACUCCCCAAAAUGCCAUAUUGCCAGGGCUAGGUCAGGCCAAAACCAGGAGCCAAGAGCUUCUCCUGAGUUUCCCGCACGGGUGGCAGGUGCCCAAGCACUUGGGCUAUCCUCUGCUAGUUUCCCAGGCACAUUGGCAGGGAGCUGGAUUGGAAGUGGAACCACCAGGACUUGAACCAAAGUACUCAUAUGGGAUGGUAGAAUGGCGGGCAGAAGUUUAGUCUGCUAUGCCACCACAUUGGCCCCCAUAAAUUAACUUUUAAAAGUCAUAUAAUGUCAUUAAAUGCAAUCUGAAAGUAUGCGGUGGAUAGAUCACGUGCUGGAGUCGUGAGGAAGGAUGGUGGAUACAGCAGUGAGGGGGUGGGAUCCAGCAAGAUAUUGAGUUGAGUCUGCAGUGAAACCUGUCAACUUCAGUAAGAGGUGUGGGGUUUAUCCUCAGUGAUGAAAGAUCCAUCACCUCACUGUCGCUCCCCCUCUUCGUGGAGGAACGACACUAAACCCUGCCUAGGCUUCAUAUCCGAGUCACGGCACCAUUAUGUCGCUCCCCCUCUUCGUGGAGGAGCAACACAGGACCCUGCGCUGUUCUUUCGUCUGCUCGGCCCUCCCCGGGUUUGCUGCUGGUUCUUCCCGGGUUGGCUACUAUCCCUUCCACCUCCGUGGAAGGGCAGUUCCCCCUGGCCGCAUUCCCCACUUCCGCAGGGGAGCGGCACACCGCCGGCCGGCUCUUCUCGGGGGCUGCACGGGUUCCCUUAGAUGUUCCCCAUAGAUGUUUCUGGUGCAUGCCGUCUCUCUCCUCCUUUAUAGUCCUCCUCCGCCAAUCCCAACUCGGCUGAGUACGCUGCUCUCCAAUCAGGAGCAAGUCCUACAGUUAAUUGGUUGAACUGGAGGCAGCUGUGCGGAAGCUGUUUACUUCUCUCCCAGCGCCAUAUUGUGGGAGAGCAGAUGCAUAGAAUAAGUCCUAAUUCGAGCAACUUAGUCUAGUCCGGAUUGCUCCCCACAGAUCCCCCUUUCUUUUUAUUUUUUGGCGUUGAUACGCGCCUGUCUUCGGUGUCCCGCAGCACACACUCUGCUGUACUUGCUAGAGUUGCCACAGGCUCUUACAAGUCCUAUCAAUCAGGAAAACCGAAUCCGGGUCCUCUCUUCGCCAUUGUGAGGAGGUUUUUAGGCGCUGAUGCGUGCCUGUGUUCGGUGCCCUGCAGCGCAUGCUCUGCUCUGCUAGAACUGCCUGCAGGUGUUUACAAAACCUAUCAGGCAAACCGAAUCCAAGCCUCCUAAUUGUUGCAUUGUGGGGAAGCUUUACUGAUGUUAAUUCGUGCCUGUCUUCGGUGACCUGCGGCUAGCCGCCCAGGUGCUCAUCGCCUCACUAAUCGGGCAGACCGAAUCCAAGCCUUCUAAUUGGCAUGUUGAGGGGAGGCCUUAUUUCUCUCUAUUUCUCUAUCUCCGGGCAUUCCUAUCUCUCCCAUUUUACUUCUAUCUGCCAACAUUCCCAUUUCUCUCACUCCACUUCCAAACUUCUGUUUCUCUUAUCCCCGCAGCUUCCCGCUCUCAUUCCAUUUCUAAACUUCUGUUUUCUCUUAUCCCCGCGGCUUCCCGGCGCCUCGCCCUGCCGGCAGCUUCGCAGCUUCCCGGCGCCUCGCCCCGCCAGCGGGCUCCGCCCCGAGGCUGCUUCUCCGCGCCUCACCGGCUCUGAGCCGCUUCAGCCCGCGCCUCAUCUGCGCGGCUUCCCGGCUUUGCGCGGUCCGCGGUCUCCACGCUUAACCCUUUCGCGUCUGAACCACGGCCUACGCCAGCGUUCCCUAUCUAUUCACGCCCCGUGCUCUCUCUGCACGCGGCGGCUUCCGCGAGUAACACAGCGUAGCUUGCGUCUCCACCACUAGCAUUCAAUCCAAGUUCCCCGGGCUAGCCUGGCGAAUUCAACCCAGCGUACGUCUCCACCCCACGAUUUGGCUUCCCGUCCUUUGCUCCCCGGGCUAAUCAGACGGAUCCCAAUCUGGCUUACGUCUCAGCUUCUGGUUUCAACUUUUCGCCCCCUAUUCCCGGGCUAACUUGAGAACCCCAAAGUGGCUUUCGUUUCCGCCUCGGCCUGCCCCCCGCGGCUUCAAUUUCCCUAACAUUUUUCUCUACCCGGUAUGUUUCCCCAAACUUUCCUCCAACGAUAUUCCUCCCUCAUUUCUCCUGGCCUCUCCCCACAGUCCGCGUCCGAGUCUGUUUGUUCUAGCUUUCACUUUCGCUUUCGACCUUAAAGAUUUCUCCCAGCUUCCCCCCGUAGUCCGUAUCCGAGUCUAUGCCUAGGCUUUCAACAGCUUCUUCCAGCACCCUUUUCGUCCGGCUUUUCCCUAGGCUGUUUGCUAGUCUCUCUCUCCGGUAUUUUCCCUAGGCUGUUUGCUAGUCUCUCUCUCCGAUAUUUUCACAGUUCUUCCCGUUUCUUCCCUCCUAAGUUUGCUAUCUGUCCUAGGUUUCCUAUCCAAGCUAGGUUUCCUAUCCGAGUCACGGCACCAUUAUGUCGCUCCCCCUCUUCGUGGAGGAACGACACUAAACCCUGCCUAGGCUUCAUAUCCGAGUCACGGCACCAUUAUGUCGCUCCCCCUCUUCGUGGAGGAGCAACACAGGACCCUGCGCUGUUCUUUCGUCUGCUCGGCCCUCCCCGGGUUUGCUGCUGGUUCUUCCCGGGUUGGCUACUAUCCCUUCCACCUCCGUGGAAGGGCAGUUCCCCCUGGCCGCAUUCCCCACUUCCGCAGGGGAGCGGCACACCGCCGGCCGGCUCUUCUCGGGGGCUGCACGGGUUCCCUUAGAUGUUCCCCAUAGAUGUUUCUGGUGCAUGCCGUCUCUCUCCUCCUUUAUAGUCCUCCUCCGCCAAUCCCAACUCGGCUGAGUACGCUGCUCUCCAAUCAGGAGCAAGUCCUACAGUUAAUUGGUUGAACUGGAGGCAGCUGUGCGGAAGCUGUUUACUUCUCUCCCAGCGCCAUAUUGUGGGAGAGCAGAUGCAUAGAAUAAGUCCUAAUUCGAGCAACUUAGUC